rnacentral:misc_RNA from 1 species
AACCAUAGAAACCUGCGGAGUACCUGCGGAAGGAUCAUUGAUAAUUUAAACCAUUUAGCCUGGGGUUUUAAGCUAGAUCCCAUAUGAAGCUGAGAUCUGAGAACGAAAUCUUUCUUAGACAGUAAGCUGAAUGCGGGAUCUAGUCCCAGGUUUAAAUAUCAACCAACUUGUGAACCGUAUAUAAUGCAGUCUUUCCGGUGAAGAAAUCUCCUUUUAGCUGACUCUGAGAGAAGAACUCGU